rnacentral:rRNA from 1 species
AAAUCGUACCCCAAACCGACACAGGUGGUCAGGUAGAGAAUACCAAGGCGCUUGAGAGAACUCGGGUGAAGGAACUAGGCAAAAUGGUGCCGUAACUUCGGGAGAAGGCACGCUGAUAUGUAGGUGAGGUCCCUCGCGGAUGGAGCUGAAAUCAGUCGAAGAUACCAGCUGGCUGCAACUGUUUAUUAAAAACACAGCACUGUGCAAACACGAAAGUGGACGUAUACGGUGUGACGCCUGCCCGGUGCCGGAAGGU